ACGACGGCCACAAUAGCAACCCUUGCUCCAUUGCCGACCCGGAGAGUGAUUUCGUCUUCCCUCAGUCUCCUAACUUCUUUAAGACCCUACAUAGAAGUGCACAAAUAAGCACUUGAUCUAGAAUCUAGAAUCCAACUAGAAGAAGAGAAAACCAUUAGAUUAGUUUCAAUAACGAGCACAUCAGAUAUACCUUCAAAACACCCAUCCUUCUUUCUAUUUUUGACAAUCACCAG
rnacentral:lncRNA from 1 species